rnacentral:rRNA from 1 species
GACGAACGCUGGCGGCGUGCCUAAUACAUGCAAGUUGGGCGCUGAAGGUUGGUACUUGUACCAACUGGAUGAGCAGCGAACGGGUGAGUAACGCGUGGGGAAUCUGCCUUUGAGCGGGGGACAACAUUUGGAAACGAAUGCUAAUACCGCAUAAAAACUUUAUACACAAGUUUUAAGUUUGAAAGAUGCAAUUGCAUCACUCAAAGAUGAUCCCGCGUUGUAUUAGCUAGUUGGUGAGGUAAAGGCUCACCAAGGCGAUGAUACAUAGCCGACCUGAGAGGGUGAUCGGCCACAUUGGGACUGAGACACGGCCCAAACUCCUACGGGAGGCAGCAGUAGGGAAUCUUCGGCAAUGGACGAAAGUCUGACCGAGCAACGCCGCGUGAGUGAAGAAGGUUUUCGGAUCGUAAAACUCUGUUGGUAGAGAAGAACGUUGGUGAGAGUGGAAAGCUCAUCAAGUGACGGUAACUACCCAGAAAGGGACGGCUAACUACGUG